rnacentral:rRNA from 1 species
AGUGAACGCUGGCGGUAGGCCUAACACAUGCAAGUCGAACGGCAGCACAGGAGAGCUUGCUAUCUGGGUGGCGAGUGGCGGACGGGUGAGGAAUACAUCGGAAUCUACUUUUUCGUGGGGGAUAACGUAGGGAAACUUACGCUAAUACCGCAUACGACCUACGGGUGAAAGCAGGGGACAUUCGGGCCUUGCGCGAUUGAAUGAGCCGAUGUCGGAUUAGCUAGUUGGCGGGGUAAAGGCCCACCAAGGCGACGAUCCGGAGCUGGUCUGAGAGGAUGAUCAGCAACACUGGAACUGAGACACGGUCCAGACUCCUACGGGAGGCAGCAGUGGGGAAUAUUGGACAAUGGGCGCAAGCCUGAUCCAGCCAUACCGCGUGGGUGAAGAAGGCCUUCGGGUUGUAAAGCCCUUUUGUUGGGAAAGAAAUCCAGCUGGCUAAUACCCGGUUGGGAUGACGGUACCCAAAGAAUAAGCACCGGCUAACUUCGUGCCAGCAGCCGCAGUAA